GGACAGGUGGCCGAGUGGUUUAAGGCGCACGCCGGAACGCGUGUGUACGUGAAAGCGUACCGUGGGUUCGAAUCCCACCCUGUCCGCCA
rnacentral:tRNA from 1 species